CCCCUAGAGGAGCCUGUUCUAUAAUCGAUAAUCCACGAUCUACCUCACCAUCUCUUGCCAAUACCGCCUAUAUACCGCCGUCACCAGCCUACCCUAUGAAGGAUAUAAAAGUAGGCAAAAUCGCACAACAGCUAACAAGUCAGGUCAAGGUGUAGCUUACUGAGAUGGAAGAAAUGGGCUACAUUUUCUAAACUAGAAAUCAUUUCACGGAAAGAACUAUGAAACAAGUUCUAUAAGCAGGAUUUAGCAGUAAAUAAGGAUCAGAAUGCCCAAUUUAAGCCGGUCCUAAGGUACGC
rnacentral:rRNA from 1 species